CAUUCCGUCGGAGGGUCACGCGGGCGGGGAGCGGAAGUGGGUUUUGGUUCUCCCAGCGUCCCUCAGGUCAAGAGCGCACACUGCGCAAGCGCCAGUCUGGGAGCGCCGGAAGUGAAAGCGAGCGGCGACGCAGGGGUAGUAGGGCGUGCAUUAUGCUUCCUGGGUUAUCUUCGUGUCUCUGGAAGUUGUAGAAUAUUCGGGAAGAACGUAAAGGUAAUGGAGGUAGUUUGUUGAGUUUAUGCUCAACCCUAAGUCCUCCGAGCUUAGUGCAACACAUGCUGCAAAGAACCUUAAACUGAUCCUGAGCCAAGGGUUGGAGAACAUUGGAAUUUUACUCCCUAAAAAUGCUGCCAGCCACACCGAGUUUCGCCAGCAAUUUCUGUUUGGAUCUCCAGCACCUGCAAUUUUUUGUUUUAUCCUAAGGUGGAACACUUCCUAAUUUGUUCUAUUCAUCUCUUCUAAAAGGGCACUCCCCUAAUUUUAAAAUGUCGACCGAAAAUGUCGACUCUUCUGCUUCUCGCAUGUUGUCUGACUGGCUGUGCUUUUCCAGCACCACACUUUUCGACUCCCCUAGUCCUGGACUGAUCCUGUAGAGUAACUUUUUUUUGCAUAUCUACCUGGUCAAGACUAUUCAGGUUCUUAUAAAGUUCAGUCAAAUACCCUUCGCUUGUAAACUCUGAUUUUAAAAAAAAACCUGUCUAACGUUUCCUAAGGUAACCUGCUCGCUCCAGUUGUCAAUGUAAUAAACCUUCUCUGAACAGUC